UACGUAGGGGGCAAGCGUUGUCCGGAUUUAUUGGGCGUAAAGAGCGUGUAGGCGGCUUGGUAGGUCCGCUGUGAAAACUCGAGGCUCAACCUCGAGAUGUCGGCGGAAACCACUUGGCUAGAGUCCGGAAGAGGAGAGUGGAAUUCCCGGUGUAGCGGUGAAAUGCGCAGAUAUCGGGAAGAACACCUAUGGCGAAGGCAGCUCUCUGGGACGGUACUGACGCUGAGACGCGAAAGCGUGGGGAGCAAACAGG
rnacentral:rRNA from 1 species